rnacentral:rRNA from 1 species
UGGGGAAUUUUGGACAAUGGGCGAAAGCCUGAUCCAGCCAUGCCGCGUGAGUGAAGAAGGCCUUCGGGUUGUAAAGCUCUUUUAGUCGGAAAGAAAGAGUUGCAAUGAAUAAUUGUGAUUUAUGACGGUACCGACAGAAAAAGCACCGGCUAACUACGUGCCAGCAGCCGCGGUAAUACGAAGGGUGCGAGAGUUAAUCGGAAUUACUGGGCGUAAAGGGUGCGCAGGCGGUCUUGCAAGUCAGAUGUGAAAGCCCCGGGCUUAACCUGGGAAUUGCGUUUGAAACUACAAGACUAGAGUGCAGCAGAGGGGAGUGGAAUUCCAUGUGUAGCAGUGAAAUGCGUAGAGAUGUGGAAGAACACCGAUGGCGAAGGCAGCUCCCUGGGUUGACACUGACGCUCAUGCACGAAAGCGUGGGGAGCAAACA